rnacentral:tRNA from 1 species
GCAGGUAUAGCUCAGUAGUAGAGAGCCUGUUUAGCAUGCACGAGGUCCUGGGUUCAGUCCCCAGUACCUCCC